rnacentral:rRNA from 1 species
GAUGAACGCUGGCGGCGUGCCUAAUACAUGCAAGUCGAGCGAACAGACGAGGAGCUUGCUCCUCUGACGUUAGCGGCGGACGGGUGAGUAACACGUGGAUAACCUACCUAUAAGACUGGGAUAACUUCGGGAAACCGGAGCUAAUACCGGAUAAUAUAUUGAACCGCAUGGUUCAAUAGUGAAAGACGGUUUUGCUGUCACUUAUAGAUGGAUCCGCGCCGCAUUAGCUAGUUGGUAAGGUAACGGCUUACCAAGGCAACGAUGCGUAGCCGACCGGAGAGGGUGAUCGGCCACACUGGAACUGAGACACGGUCCAGACUCCUACGGGAGGCAGCAGUAGGGAAUCUUCCGCAAUGGGCGAAAGCCUGACGGAGCAACGCCGCGUGAGUGAUGAAGGUCUUCGGAUCGUAAAACUCUGUCAUUAGGGAAGAACAAAUGUGUAAGUAACUAUGCACGUCUUGACGGUACCUAAUCAGAAAGCCACGGCUAACUACGUG